rnacentral:rRNA from 1 species
GGCUCAGGACGAACGCUGGCGGCGUGCUUAACACAUGCAAGUCGAGCGGAAAGGCCCUUCGGGGUACUCGAGCGGCGAACGGGUGAGUAACACGUGAGCAACCUGCCCUAGGCUUUGGGAUAACCCCGGGAAACCGGGGCUAAUACCGAAUAGGACCUGGCCUCGCAUGAGGCUGGGUGGAAAGUUUUUCGGCCUGGGAUGGGCUCGCGGCCUAUCAGCUUGUUGGUGGGGUGAUGGCCUACCAAGGCGACGACGGGUAGCCGGCCUGAGAGGGCGACCGGCCACACUGGGACUGAGACACGGCCCAGACUCCUACGGGAGGCAGCAGUGGGGAAUAUUGCACAAUGGGCGGAAGCCUGAUGCAGCGACGCCGCGUGAGGGAUGACGGCCUUCGGGUUGUAAACCUCUUUCAGCAGGGACGAAGCGUAAGUGACGGUACCUGCAGAAGAAGCGCCGGCCAACUACGUGCCAGCAGCCGCGGUAAGACGUAGGGCGCGAGCGUUGUCCGGAUUUAUUGGGCGUAAAGAGCUCGUAGGCGGCUUGUCGCGUCGACUGUGAAAACCCGCAGCUCAACUGCGGGCCUGCAGUCGAUACGGGCAGGCUAGAGUUCGGUAGGGGAGACUGGAAUUCCUGGUGUAGCGGUGAAAUGCGCAGAUAUCAGGAGGAACACCGGUGGCGAAGGCGGGUCUCUGGGCCGAUACUGACGCUGAGGAGCGAAA